GACAUCUUUGGUGGCCUAGUGGUUAAAACGUCUGCCUUUGGAUGAAGGAGAUCGUGGGUGCGAAUCCCAUCCAAGUCA